UACAGAGUUGUUCUUUUAUUUUAUUUUGGUUUAAAGUUAAGUAAAGCUAUUACAAGACUGGGACUGUACCUAGUUUAUCAAGGGGCAGAUAAAAUGAUGUAAUAGCCUACAAAAAUCAAAAGUUUGUAAAAAUAUUAGCCCUCAAGAAUACCAGAGCAUCGCUUUGUCAUCUUUCUUUAAGGAGAAAAAGUGCCCUUGCUUUUACAAUCUGAGCUGUUCCUGAGGGAAGCCAAACAGAUUUUGGGCCAGGACAGUCCUUUCUCUAAGCAUGCUGCUGCAUCCAUCGCUGCAAAGAGUUAAUGUGCGGGAAGCUGUCGGUAGGUGUUUAGUGCACCCGCGCCUGUUGGAACUUGCCUGAUAAAAAGGCAUUUCAAAGAAGACAGGAUUGCAGGAGGAAUUUCAGCUGAAGGGUUCCUGCUUUAUCCACCCUUCUCAAGAACUUGCCCCAAAGCUCUUAACAUGUCUCAACAGAGCUCAGGGAGAGGCCUCAACACAGCAGCAGAAAGCAGGUUUGUAUUUAAAAGGAACGUAAAAAGAACA